rnacentral:rRNA from 1 species
GACGAACGCUGGCGGCGUGCUUAACACAUGCAAGUCGAACGGAAAGGCCCUGCUUUUGUGGGGUGCUCGAGUGGCGAACGGGUGAGUAACACGUGAGUAACCUGCCCUUGACUUUGGGAUAACUUCAGGAAACUGGGGCUAAUACCGGAUAGGAGCUCCUGCUGCAUGGUGGGGGUUGGAAAGUUUCGGCGGUUGGGGAUGGACUCGCGGCUUAUCAGCUUGUUGGUGGGGUAGUGGCUUACCAAGGCUUUGACGGGUAGCCGGCCUGAGAGGGUGACCGGCCACAUUGGGACUGAGAUACGGCCCAGACUCCUACGGGAGGCAGCAGUGGGGAAUAUUACACAAUGGGCGGAAGCCUGAUGCAGCAACGCCGCGUGCGGGAUGACGGCCUUCGGGUUGUAAACCGCUUUCACCUGUGACGAAGCGUGAGUGACGGUAAUGGGUAAAGAAGCACCGGCUAACUACGUG